rnacentral:rRNA from 1 species
CCUACGGGUGGCAGCAGUGAGGAAUAUUGGUCAAUGGACGAGAGUCUGAACCAGCCAAGUCGCGUGAAGGAUGACUGCCCUCUGGGCUGUAAACUUCGUUUAUAAAGGAGUAAAACUAGGCAUGUGUGCCUUUUUGCAUGUACCUUAUUAAUUAGGAUCGGCUAACUCCGUGCCAGCAGCCGCGGGAAUACGGAGGAUGCGAGCGUUAUCCGGGUUCGUUGGGUUUAAAGGGAGCGUAGAGGGGUUGUUAAGUCAGUUGUGAAUGUUUGCGGGUCAACCGUAAAAUUGCAAUUGAUACUGGGAGGCUUGAGUGCAGUUGAGGUAGGCGGAAUUCGUGGUGUAGCGGUGAAAUGCGUAGAUAUCACGAAGAACCCCGAUGGCGAAGGCAGCUUACUAGACUGUGACUGACAUUGAUGCUCGAAAGUGUGGGUAUCAAACAGGAUUAGAUACCCGUGUAGUC